rnacentral:rRNA from 1 species
CCUACGGUAGGCAGCAGUGGGGACUAUUGCUCACUGGGGGAAACCCUGAUCCAGCAACGCCGCGUGCAGGAUGACGGUCUUAGGGUUUUUAACUUCUGUUUUUACGGACAUAAAAUGCCGUAAGUUAAGGGCCAUGCAUCUACUACCUACGUGCCAGCAGCCUCGUUAAUACGGAGGUGGCAAGCUUUUUCCGGACUUACUGGGGUUAACGGGAGCGCAGGCGGUAAGCCAGGUCAGCUGUGAAAAGUACGGGCUUAACUUGGAGAUUGCAGUUGAAACUGGUUUUCUUGAGUGAAGUAGAGGUUGGCGGAAUGCGGAGUGUAGCGGUGAAAUGCGUAGAUAUUCGGAGGAACCCCGGUGGCGAAGGCGGCCAACUGGGCUUUAACUGACGCUGAGGCUCGAAAGUGUGGGGAGCAAACAGGAGUAGAUACCCGUGUAGUC